GUGGCUUUCCCUCAAUGGACGGAUCAAGGGACUAAUGCGAAGCUGAUUGAAGAUGUGUGGGGGAAUGGGGUGAGAGUGAGUGCUAAUGAAGAAGGGAUGGUGGAACGUGAUGAGAUCGUUAGGUGCUUGGAUUUGGUGAUGGGGGAUGAUGAGAAAGGGAUGGAAGUGAAGAAAAACGUAGAGAAAUGGAAAGGGUUAGCCAGGGAAGCCUCCAUGGAAGGCGGCUCCAUGGAUAUGAAGCUUAAAGCUUUUGUGGAUGAUGUUGCUCAAGGUGGUUGUAAGUAAAUUUAUCAUUUUCAAAUAAAUUCACUGUUAUAAUAGCAGCUAUAAAGAUUGUAACUUCUUUAAUUUCUAAGUUUAUUUCUUUUUUUUUUUCCAUAUCUUUUAAAAAAUAUAUGUAAGAUUGAAAGGCCCAAACAAAAACUCCUGUUUUAAGGACCCAAGAAGAGCUGGUCUGUUUAGGCUGUGCUAUUUAUUACUUUUUAGAUGAGUUUUUGCAUGUAAAAGUAUUUUUUUUGAAAAAUAAUAAAGAAUAGACAUCAUUUCAGAAAUAUUUUUAACUUAAAAAAAUACUUUUUGGCAGAUGGAGAAAUUAAAAAUUUUAACUUUUCCGUCUGCCAAAAGUGCUUUUGACUUCUAUUUACAUUUUUAACCUUUUUCUUCUCCCAAAAUUUUUAGUAUUUAUAUUUGGUAUAUAAAUGUUAUCCAUUUUUAAAUCUUUAAUCUAAAUAUAUGUAAUAUUUUAAUUUGUUAGGUUUAUAUUUUCUAUGUUACGUUAAUAUCUAAUAAGAGUUAUAUAUUAAAAUACAUUUUAAAAUAAAAUAAUACAAAUGUGUUAAAAGCAUUAAUUAAAAAUAAAAAAUAAAUUUUAAAAUAAUACAAUUGUGUCAGUAUCUAAUUACAAAUAUUUAAUUAUUAUAUUUAAAUAUAGUUUAUAUAUUCUAAUUAAAUUUAAUAAAUAAUUAAUAUUAAUUACUUAGAAAAAUUUAAAAAUAAUAUUAUAUAUUAAAAUAUUAACAAUAAGUUAUAAUAAAUUAUUUUUAUAAUUUUGCUAAAAUAUCAUAAUAUUAACUAAUUUGAACAUUAUUUAAAUACAUAUUUGUUACUUUAUAAUAUCAUGUCUAAAAUGGACAUUUUAUUUCUCAAAAGCACUUUUUGACAGCAAUAUCAAACACUCAAAUUUUUCGAAAGCAUUUUUUAAAAGUACUUUUCCACAACACUUUUCAAAAAUACUUUUCAAAAGCAAUGAAGAACUGACCCUUAGUCUUUGUGCCCCAUCUAUCCAUCUCAAUCUCAAUCAAUGCUUUCCUUUCUUGCCUCAAGCACUCACUCGUUUCAUGACCUAUCCUAGUCUUCCCUUUCUUAACUUCAUGAUCUCAAAAAAAAAAAAAAACCCCAAAGUUUGAAUUCCGUCUAUGAACUUCCUAAGCAGAAUCAGGAUAUUUGAUUAAACAUGGAUGCUUCCAUUAUCAUAUGGAUUAAGGGUGCCAGUCAGUCUUAUUACGCCCCUAAUCCAACUUUCACCAUUCGAUAUAUGAUUAUAACCUAUACAACAACAGUCAAAUGUGUUGUUGUCGUACCUCUGUCCCUUCAAAAUUAUCUUUACUGUUGCUAUUCAUGUCUUCAUUUGAAUUGAUUUGUUUAUGGUUAUAUAUUGCCGAAUUUGAUUUGUAUAUGGAUAUACAUUGCUGAAUUAAUUUAUAUAUUGUUAUACAUUACCAAAUUUGAUUUGUAUAUAGAUAUACAUUGACAAAUUUGAUUCGUAUAUGGAUAUAUAUCGCCGAAUUGAUUUGAGCUUUGGAUUACUAGUUUUGUGCAUGAAUUGAUUUAAUUACGAAGUCGAAAGCUCCGAAUGAACCUUAGUAAAUGUAUUGGAUAUUGAUGUCAUGAUAUUAGGACUUUCAGGGUGUAAUUUCGCGUAAGACCAUGUCUGGGAUAUUGGCAUCGAAGUAAGAAAACGUGUAAGACCAUGUCUGGGACAGUGGAAUUGAUAUGUGUUAACAUAUAAGACCAUAUCCGAGAUAUUGUAUUGUACGAGUUUUAUAUGAUUUUCGUAUGAUCUUAACUAUUUCGAAUGUGAAUUUGAGUUGAAUGGUUCAGGUAUGUGUGAAGUUAUAUGUUCAUGCAAUAUUAAGGUAAGUUUAGCACUUAAUGUGAUAAUAUGCAAUUAUAUGAGUUAGUUAAAUGUUUAUGUGUUUGAGAUUUAUUUGAAUUCAACCUAGUUGAAUUGAAUUAUAAAUAUCAUUGAGAUGAUUGAGUAAGAGGUUAGUACGAGAUGAUACAGGUACAUACAGAACCUAUUCGAGUAUUUAAUAGAGAAAGAUAAUGAAAUGGUAUUUGAUCAUGUUUUAAGACAUUGAGAAAGGUUUGUUGUAAUUGUAUAUAUGGUGAUGUUAUGUACAAUUAGUUGAAUUGUAUGUAUUUGAUGUAUUGAAUUAUUCAUUUACGAACUUACUAAGCUAUGAAGCUUACUUCGUGUUAUUUUCUUAUGUUUUAUAGAGAAUCAAGGCUAGCUCGGAUCCAAAAGUCGUCGGGAACAUCAUCGCGCUAUCGAACAUCUAAGUUGGUACUUUUGAAUUGUAUAUAUAUGAUAUAUGAGAUGUAUAGGCUAGUGUCAUUUUGGUAUGUUUUGAGUUAUGAUAUUAGCCAUGAGAUUUGGCUUUUAAAGGUUGGUGUGUAUUUGGCCAUAUGAAUUGGUUGUUUAAGUGUUGAGAAAAUGCAUAUUUGAACCUAAGAUGAAUUGAUGGUUAUAGUAAGUUAAAUUGACAUAUUUUUGAGUUAAUUUGGUACUAAAAUUGAAAUGAAAUGAACGAAGUUUAUUAGUUAACUUUUAUAUAGUAUUAUGAAUGUUGUUGAUCAAUUUGAUAAGUAAAUGUUUUAGGCAUGAUUUAAAUAUGUUUAAAUGUGAAAAUGUGUUGGUUUCCAUAUUGAUUGUAAAUUGGUUGCAGUUGAAAUUGCAGGGAAUGUUAGAUAUUUAUAAAGAAGUUAUAUUGAGUUCGCAAAAAGAAAAAUUCUCCGAGUUUCCGAAUUAGUCCCGAAUCAUUCUUAACUCGUAUUAUGGACCUUGAGGGUUUAUCUAAGGGACUUUAAGAUUAUUUUAUAUUAUAUUUGAUAAUUAUUUGUAUAUUAAUUGUAAAUUGUCCGAUAGGUCUAGUAAUGCUCCAUAAUCCUAUUCCGGUGACGAACAUGGGUUAGGGGUGUUAUAAUAAGCAAUUUUUGGUGAAAGUUAUAGUGAAAGUUAUCAUAUUGAUGGUUAGGUGUGAUUGACCAUAGAGUUAUAAUUAUUAUAGUACAAAGAAAAGUUAACUGAGUUGAUUAGGGUGUGAGGUGAAUAAAUUAACUCUUCGAAAUUUUAAUAGCAGGAACGGAAGAAUAUUUAAAAAAAAAUUAAUUUGUUAUUUGAUUUAACAUAUAGAGACUGAUUUAUCUAUUUUUUAGUAUAGCUAGAGGAUAAAAUGCAAUCUGACAUCUAAUACAAUGACCUCAAUAAUACUUUUACCUACAGUUGCUAAAUUUAUAACUAUAAUCGUAAAUUUUCAGUUUUGGUUCUUCUAUUAUGGUUACGUUUAAGAUUUAAUUUUUUAAAGUAAGAUUUAAUCUUUAUAAUUAAAUUUGGCAUAAUUUGAUUGUCUAUUUUUACAAUGAUAUUAGGUAGUCGAAAUAAUUAACAUAUUUUUUAACUAUUCUAAUUAAGUUUUUAAUUUUUUUAAAAAUACUAUUCUAUAAAAAAAUUACUUUUACAUAAUGAAUCAGAAUAAAUGUUAUUAAAAAUAUUCACAUCUACUACAAAAAAUAUUAAGGGUGCUAAUUAUUUGAGUUAACUAAUGAUACGACCUUUUUUUCCCGACAUUAUAAGAUAAUGAUAAAAUUAUAGUUUUUAUAUCUCUAUUAUGCUCACAUUUGAGAUUUAAUAUUUAUAUUUUAAAUUAACAUCGUUUGAUCCUCUACUUUUAUAAUGAUAUUAGUUAUCCUAAAUAAUUAAUAUUUUUAACUAUAUCGAUUAAAAUGAUUACAUGAAUUUCUCUUAAAAACACCUUUCAAUACAAUAUAUAUAUUUCUACAUGAAGUUCGAAUGGGUAUUUUUAAGGAAAAUAUUGAUCUCGACAUUUUGACCACGAUAAUUAAAGGUAUCAACUAUUUCAACUAACUAAUAGUAUUAUGUAGAGGGACCAAAUUAUAUAAAAUUAAAGAAUAGAUAUUAAAUUCUAUAUUUAAACAUAGUAGAGAGACCAUAACCAUAAUUUAAUCUAAAACAAAUUAUCUCUAACAUAAUAUAAAUAUAUUAACUAUAAAAAAUUUAAAUUUUAUUCUACCCCUAAAAAAUUAUUCUGACUUUACCUUACCUGCUACAAUUUUUAGACCUUACAUAAGAUUGUUUUCUUAAAUAGUGCAUAUUAUAAUAUAUAUUUGGUUUUGCAAUUGUUUUUAACUUCGGCUUUUAAUUUGUCACAAAUAAAAUUUUUGACUUUAUUAAUAAUAAUAAUAAUAAUAAUGGAUAAUUUAAAAUAAAAUAUAUUUAUAUUUUAAUUUAUUGUAUUGGAAUUAAUGAGAGAAAAUUUAUGGUCCUUAUAGCGCAAGAAUGUGUGUGACAACGUGUUGAAUGUUUAUCCACACAAAAUCCAAAAGGAUUCAAGGAUCUUCAACUUCGUCAGUGCCUCUCAUCACUUCUAAAAACACUUUGCUUUCCUUUCUUACUUACUCCAAAUCCGACGUUCGUAGAAAAAGACCAAGUUAACUACCUACGUGCCGCCGUCACCAUCAUGUCACAGCCUCAUUUCCUCCUGGUGACCUACCCUGCACAAGGCCACAUAAACCCAACCUUACAAUUUGCCAGGCAUCUUAUACGUAUUGGCGUACGUGUAACUUUCAUCACCUGCAUCUCCGCUCGCCGCCGCAUGACCAAAGUCCCCACUGCUCAAGGCCUAACGUUUUUACCCUUUUCCGAUGGCUACGACGACGGUUUUCAACCCGGCGAUGACGUGGACCAUUACCGAUCUGAAUUUACGCGACGAGGCAAAGAAGCCAUCUCCGAGUUUAUAACAAGCGGUGAAAACGAAGGCAAACCCGUCACUUGCAUUGUCUACACCCUGUUCAUCCAUUGGGCCACGGAGGUGGCGCGUAAACAUCACAUCCCGACAGCUUUACUUUGGAUUCAACCCGCCUCCGUUUUUGACAUCUAUUAUUUUUACUUCAACGGAUACGAAUCCACCAUUAAAGCUCAAGCUGAAGAAACAAACCCCGAGCGUUCAAUCAAAUUACCAGGUCUGCUGCUACUCGCCACCCGCGACCUUCCGUCUUUCUUCACCGCUUCAAACGUUUACCGUUGGGCACUGUCGUUGUUCCAAGAACACAUGGACGUCCUCGCCGAUGAAUCCAACCCUAAAAUCCUUGUUAACACCUUCGAUGCUUUGGAACACGAAGCAUUAAACGCCAUUGAAAAUUUCAACAUGGUCGGCAUCGGACCUUUAAUCCCAUCUUCUUUCUUGAACUCAAGUGACUCCUUGGAUAAUUCCUUGAGAACCGAUCUUUUUCAACCCGAUUCAAAAGAUUACCUCCAAUGGUUAGACUCCAAACCAAAAUCGGCCGUCGUUUACGUUUCCUUCGGGAGCAUUACGGUGUUAACGAAGCAACAAGUGGAGGAAAUCGCUCGAGCUUUAAUAUCCAGCCGGCGACCUUUUUUAUGGGUGGUGAGGAACCGGAAAGAUGGAGGCGAAGAAGAGAAAGAAGAAGAUAAACUGACUUGCAGGGAAGAAUUGGAACAGUUUGGGAGGGUGGUUCCAUGGUGUUCGCAAGUGGAAGUAUUGUCUCAUCCGUCGUUGGGUUGCUUCGUGACGCAUUGUGGGUGGAACUCGACGUUGGAGAGCAUGGUGGCCGGUGUACCAGUGGUGGCUUUCCCUCAAUGGUCGGAUCAAGGGACUACUGCGAAGCUGAUUGAAGAUGUGUGGGGGAAUGGGGUGAGAGUGAGUGCUAAUGAAGAAGGGAUGGUGGAACGUGAUGAGAUCGUUAGGUGCUUGGAUUUGGUGAUGGGGGAUGAUGAGAAAGGGAUGGAAGUGAAGAAAAAUGUAGAGAAAUGGAAAGGGUUAGCCAGGGAAGCCUCCAUGGAAGGCGGCUCCAUGGAUAUGAACCUUAAAGCUUUUGUGGAUGAUGUUGCUCAAGGUGGUUGCAAGUAAAUUUAUCAUUUUCAAAUCAAU
rnacentral:lncRNA from 1 species